AUGAUAAGUUUUAGCUGGAAUAAUGGAAGGCUUGCUACCGAGCUGGCAGGUCGCAUGUUUAGCAAUAGGGAGCUCGGUAGCUUAAACCUUCCUGUAUUUUGGGGGGGUUCAGGCAACGCCACACACCCCACACUGCCUCCCACCAGGAUGAAGACAGCAAAGAGUUGGAGGCACUUCCCCAGAAACUCGGGCUCCGUGCACAGCCCUCAGGACAACAGGACGCCUGGUUUAUUAUUGAAAUCAUUAUUUUCACGAGUUGUUAAAAACAAAAAAAAAAGCAAAAAUCCCGACAAACAACAACAAAACCGGAAACCAUUAAAACACGUUGUUCGGGGCUUCUUCUAUUCCAUUUUACGCGGGCUCAACACCAGGUGGCGCUGGAGGGCAGUUAAAGGAGUGGGCGCGGCUUGGAAUGGUCCUGCCCAUUAUCUAGGCCACGCCCACAGUAGCGCACCUCCCAGCACUCCUGCGCUCCUACCCUCAGUUCUCACUCCGGUCCGCCCCGCUCACGGCUGCGCAUGCGCUCUUCACCUCCCGCCCACUCCAGGGAGCGGGUCUACUUGGAGAGCACUGGGGCGAGGAUUGGUCGAGCUGCGCGGGAUUGUGAGACGUGAUUGGGCGGCGAGAAUAUCUGGCAUCCGAAACCAGAGGGUGAGUAGAGACAGCUUCUCAGCAUCUGUCCCCAAACAGACUUCGGUUCUGCUUCAGCCCCAGCAGCUGCAAGCCGUCUCAACAGGCCACAGAUUCCCUUUGCCAGCACUCACGAGUCUCCUCAGUGACCUGAAGGCAGAAAGGGGAGAAGUAGCUGUGAGCUCCAGGACUCUCAGCAGGAACCACAUCCCCUUUCAACAGCCACAGAUGGGGCUCAAGAAGCUCAAACCCCCACCAGACCCUGGGGUUGUACAGGACCAUCUAUCUGCACGUGCCACUGAGACCCAAUGAAGUGACCUACUGAGCUUCCAGGCUGCAGUCCCAAGAAACCAACCCAGAGUCCAUUCAUCCCCAUAAAAGCCACUUACCUCAUCAGAGGCUGCCCAGAACCCCUGGUUCUCCAUUUCAAGAGUUUGUGUCCCUGCUUCAGGGUCUCUCCUGUCCCACAGGACGGCCACAUCACUCCGGCCAAACCUCUUGGUCCUCAGGCACUGGGGGAGAAGAGGGCUGCAGUGGUACCUCCAGAAAUCCCUCUGGUCCCUCUUUUAUCGAAGUUCAGCACCACAGCCCUUGUACCCACCACGACCUCAUCCCACAGAGGAGACAGUCAUCACCCUUACCAGCAGCAGGAUGAUAGGAAUGGUGAUGAUGAUGAGGCCACACACAACUAUGAUGGACACGCCGUACUCAGGAAAGCCAGGGGCAGGAGGGGGCUCCAGAGUGUCCUCUGGGGUGGAACAGAGCUGUUAGCACUCUUGAUUUGGGUUUGCUGUUCCCACACCCUAAAGGAAGCUCACCCACCUCCUACCGAAAUGGAGUAUGGAUCCACCUGGAAGUCUGAGUCAGCCAAAACCUUGUCUGGCCCAACUGCAAGAACAAGAGCCUCCAGGACCUCCAGGCUGCUGGGAGCAGGGGGCUGGAACACUGCAUCCCCAUGGCACAGCAGGGAGCCAGGCCUGUGGAGAAGCUUGGGAUGAAUUCCAGCAUCAGCUGGUCCUAAUGAGCAUCCACAGCUCCCAACUCAGUGAGGGUGUUAAGUUUGCAUCUGCUCCUCGGGAUGCAAAGGAUGCCCACAAGACCUCCCCAGCUUUGUACCCUUUUCACCAGCCCUUUCACUCACAGGAAUCCUCUUAUCACCACUUGCAGGAAGCUCACAUUGUCUCUCAGGGCUUUUGCCACCUAGAAGAAAGGUUUUGCUCAGCAUCCCAUCACUCUCCAGCCCCAAACAGGGAAAAGACAUCUCACCCAUACAAGCCCAGUCAAGGAGGUGAUAACUGCUGGGGUUUGUGGGGUGACCACAAGGCAGAGCCCUUCCUCCAGCACUGAGGAGGACCCCAGUGCUUCCCCACCUACCACAUUUCCAAGAGCCCUCCUGAGCUCCUGGUGCUCAGCAGUGAGUGGAUCCAGCAGCUCCUUGCUGAAAUGCCAAUUGGUGACAAGGAAGGAGAGUGGGUAAACCUGCAGCUGCAGCCUGGUCCCUGGGGAGGCAGGAGGAGAGCUGGGUGAGCAGGAACAGCCACCAGCACCGUCACCUAUGGGAACAGCAUCCUUACCUUGCACUGACAGAGAGCUCAGGUCCACAGAGCAUGUGGCAAGGGCAGUCAGUGCCUGCAGGACUGCAGUGAUGUUGGCAUGGGUGGUGGUGUCCAGAUAGAUGUCCCCAGCCAUCUCCAGGUCUCCAUUGGCUUUUCUGUGAGGAGAGAAGCUCUAAGUAAGGCCUUCCUCCGUCCUGCUGAGCUGCUCAUGGCCAUAAUAGACAUAGAGGAAGACCAAGAUUUGGGCAGCUGCCUACCAUACCUGAGCUGGCCAACAGUGAUGUUCCUCACAGGGUAGAGGGCACUGAGAGACUGCAUCACCUGCAGGAGAAGGAGAUGAGCUCACCCCCAGCCUCAGAGCAGAGCUAUGAAGAUGCAUUCACUUUUUGACAGGCUCCAGAUGAGAAGCCAUCACUCUGCUCCAACCCACUUGGCAUGGGGGAACAGCUACCAUACCUCACCAACCAGCCUCUCUGCAGGCUCCAUCCCACCCAGCACUGUGAAGGAGAUGGACAGCUUCUCAGGGUCCAGGCUCUCCAUGUUGAAGCCUAGAAGAGUUGAGAAUGCCAUUCACACCUACGUCUUCCUUGGGAAAUGCAUCAAGCCCUGACCUCAUACCAAAACCAGUACCAGAUGGUGGGAGGGAUCAAGCUGUACAGCCUCCCACAGACAGGUCAAGGAUAGGAUCAGAUGGGGAGGUUAGGGGGAAGCCUGAGACCCCACCGCAUGGGUUUGGGGUUCUGUCAAUGCACAGGGAGGACACUGAGUGGCAGCUGCUCUGCUUACCAUUGGAGCUGAUGGAAUGAGGCUCCAGCCACCAGCUGAAGGCAUCAUGCCCCCAGCUCGCCCCUGCCACCAGCGUGCGGAUGAGGUGGGAGCUGCUGGGAGCCUCCCCCAGGAACACAGCCUGUGCUUGCACCAGCACUGAGCCAUUCCUGGGGGUGAGAAGAAGGUCCCAAGGUUUGGAUCUGCACAGCCAUAAGGUCCCAUCCCAUCAACCCUAAUCAACCCUACUCACUUAAACCCAAGGAUAUUUGCUUGGAGGAAGGUAUCAUAGGUGGACAGCAUCUGGUGCAGCUGGAAUAGAGAAGCAGCUGGUGGUGAGAGGCUCCUGUAUUCAUGCUUUGCCCAUCAGCCCUAAGCAAGCCCAGAAGCCAGCUCCAGAGGGCUCAGCCCACACUCACCAUCAUCCUCACUUCUUUCUCCAGCUCCUUGUAGCUCCUCGAAGACUUUUUGCUCAGAUCUUCAGUGAAGGCAAUACCCAAGAGCCUGAAACUCAAGGGCAAGGUGUGCACAGGGAUCUUUGUCCCCAUGGAUCCAGCAUUGCCCGAGGCUGUCACGAGUUGCUCUGGAGUGAAGACUUCUCCUGCUACCACUGAGCUGGUGGCUGUGGGGACAUCAGCUCUGUCUGCAGAGGGGUGCUGGGAGGUGGCAGGAGAAGGGCUGGACUUUGGAUGAGCAGAUGUGAGCAAUGCUGAUGCAAUUAAGGUCUGAGAGCUUGGGGCAUGAGUGGUGGUAAUGGAAGCUAGCAGGUAAGUUGGGGAUGGAGAACUGAUACAAGGUCCUGCAGCAGGAGUCUUGGAGCUGGGAGGAUGCACAGAGCCCAGAGUAUGCUCUGGAGGUGCUGCUGGAGAAGGCAUCUGGGUGGUCAACUCCAUUGGGAAGCCCUGGCUCACAUCUGCUGCUUUUGGAAACCAGGAAGACCCCACAGCUGCUCCAUGCGGGUACACAGCUUCCGUGGCUCCAGGCUCUGAGGUUGUAGCAGGAGAUAUCAAGCUCUCCCCAGCCUCAGUAGGACCUGUGGUGCUGGGGAACCACAUCCAGACAGGGACAGGAGGGGCUUUGGUGAGCGAUGGGCCAGCCUGGUGCGCAGGGGAUGGAUCACUACGUUCCUCCAAGGUGGCAGCAGAGCUCCUGAGCCCCUCUGUAGGAAGGGAUGGAGCCAGCACAUGUAGGUGGCUGCUACUAUGAGAUGCAGCACUAGGAGGUGACGAAGAAAUGAUGUCUGUAAGCCCAGAUCCAUUUCCCAGAGCUUCAUCCCCAAUGGUGCCCACCACCAGAGCAGCUUCUGCUCCUCCAGGUGUGACAGGAGGUGUCCACACAGUGCUAGGAUGGCUUCCAUCCCAGCUGGAUGUCCCUGCUGUUGGCAGUACUGGGGAUGAUUCUGGAAGGAUCUCCAGUUGGGAAGUUUGCUCCAGUCUUUGGCUCCUUGUUGGGGCUGCAACAUCAACAGUUUCAUUCUGGACGUGGGAGAAGCUGCUGGGUGCAG
rnacentral:lncRNA from 1 species